AUUGAACGCUGGCGGCAGGCUUAACACAUGCAAGUCGAGCGGAGAUGAGGUGCUUGCACCUUAUCUUAGCGGCGGACGGGUGAGUAAUGCUUAGGAAUCUGCCUAUUAGUGGGGGACAACAUUCCGAAAGGAAUGCUAAUACCGCAUACGCCCUACGGGGGAAAGCAGGGGCUCUUCGGAGCUUGCGCUAAUAGAUGAGCCUAAGUCGGAUUAGCUAGUUGGUGGGGUAAAGGCCUACCAAGGCGACGAUCUGUAGCGGGUCUGAGAGGAUGAUCCGCCACACUGGGACUGAGACACGGCCCAGACUCCUACGGGAGGCAGCAGUGGGGAAUAUUGGACAAUGGGCGGAAGCCUGAUCCAGCCAUGCCGCGUGUGUGAAGAAGGCCUUUUGGUUGUAAAGCACUUUAAGCGAGGAGGAGGCUACCUGGAUUAAUACUCUAGGAUAGUGGACGUUACUCGCAGAAUAAGCACCGGCUAACUCUGUGCCAGCCGCCGCAGUAACAC
rnacentral:rRNA from 1 species